UACGUAGGGUGCAAGCGUUAAUCGGAAUUACUGGGCGUAAAGCGUGCGCAGGCGGUGAUGUAAGACAGAUGUGAAAUCCCCGGGCUCAACCUGGGAACUGCAUUUGUGACUGCAUCGCUGGAGUACGGCAGAGGGGGAUGGAAUUCCGCGUGUAGCAGUGAAAUGCGUAGAGAUGCGGAGGAACACCGAUGGCGAAGGCAGCCCCCCUGGGCUAGCACUGACGCCUCAGGCACGAAAGCGUGGGGAGCAAACAGG
rnacentral:rRNA from 1 species